UACGAAGGGGGCUAGCGUUGCUCGGAAUCACUGGGCGUAAAGCGCGCGCAGGCGGUUCUUCAAGUCAGAGGUGAAAGCCCAGAGCUCAACUCUGGAAUGGCCUUUGAGACUAGAGAACUUGGGUACGGGAGAGGUGAGUGGAAUUCCGAGUGUAGAGGUGAAAUUCGUAGAUAUUCGGAAGAACACCAGUGGCGAAGGCGGCUCACUGGCCCGUUACCGACGCUCAGGCGCGACAGUGUGGGGAGCAAACAGG
rnacentral:rRNA from 1 species